AGCAGCCGCGGUAAUUCCAGCUCCAAUAGCGUAUAUUAAAGUUGUUGCAGUUAAAAAGCUCGUAGUUGAAUUUCAGGCCUGGCUGGACGGUCCGCCCUUCGGGUGAGUACUGUCUGUGGUCGGGUCCUACCUUCUGGCGAAGCGUCAUGGUCUUAACCGGCCGUGGCGGGGAACCAGGACUUUUACUGUGAAAAAUUAGAGUGUUCAAAGCAGGCAAAUCGCUUGGAUACAUUAGCAUGGAAUAAUGGAAUAGGACAAUGGUUCUAUUUGUUGGUUUCUAGGACCGUUGUAAUGAUUAAUAGGGAUAGUUGGGGGCAUUAGUAUUCAAUUGUCAGAGGUGAAAUUCUUGGAUUUAUUGAAGACUAACUACUGCGAAAGCAUUUGCCAAGGAUGUUUUCAUUAAUCAAGAACGAAAGUUAGGGGAUCGAAGACGAUCAGAUACCGUCGUAGUCUUAACCAUAAACUAUGCCGACUAGGAAUCGGGCGAUGUUGACAAAAUGACGCGCUCGGCA
rnacentral:rRNA from 1 species